GCGGUUAAGGGCAUACGGUGGAUGCCUAGACUCUCAGAGGCGAUGAAGGACGUGGUAUGGCUGCGAUAAGCUUCGGUAAGGUGCCAAACAACCUAUGACCCGGAGAUGUCCGAAUGGGGAAACCUCAUCUGGUAACACCAGAUGACUUCGGCUUUAGUCGGAGAGCGUACCCGGGGAAGUGAAACAUCUCAGUACCCGGAGGAAAAGAAACCAAUAUGGUAUUCCCAUAGUAGCGGCGAGCGAAAUGGGAGAAGCCCAAACCGAGCACCACUUUUUGAUUUUAAGGUAUACUGUGUACAUGAUGUGGGCGGUAUACAUUAUUCAACAUUCCAUCUCGAAAGAAUUGUACGUCGGUGUAACAUCCGAUUUAAAACGAAGAAUUGAUGAACAUAAUGCGCACUAUAAAAACGCGUGUACAAGAAGAAAGAAUGGAGGAGAAUGGUUUCUCGUAUAUGCGGAAGCGUAUCGAGAUAAAGAAGAUGCCUAUACGCGUGAGUUUCGUUUGAAAGAGCGAGGUCGCGCAAAGCAGGAAGUUUUGAAGCGAGCAGGAUGAAGCUUGCUUUCUUAAAAUCAAAAAGUGGUGCUCGGGGUAGUAAGGCAACAAUGUCGCUUUUAAAGUGAGAGAUAUGUGCGUCGUGUUAGUGGAAAUUGCUGGAAAGCAACACCCGAGAAGGUGAUAGUCCUGUACACGAAAAUGCGGCGCCGAUCUUUGUUGUUGUUCUUGAGUACCCCAAGACAUGAAUAGCUUGGGGGAAUCAGCCGGAACUAACCGGUAAGGCUAAAUACUCUGAGAGAUCGAUAGUGAACCAGUACCGUGAGGGAAAGGUGAAAAGAACCCCGGAGAGGGGAGUGAAAUAGAUCUGAAACCGUAUGUCUACAAGGAGUCGGCGUCCAGCCCCACUUUUACUUUAUGAAUUCUCGUAGUGGUCAUGUGCAGGUAUCUCUGCGCACUGACUUUUCUCGUGAAGAAAAAAUUCAUACGUGAAAGUGGAGCUGGACUACGGCGUGCCUAUUGAAGAAUGAGCCAACGAGUUGAUGUGUGUGGCUUGGCUAAGUCCUUGUCGGACGGAGCCGUAGGGAAACCAAGUGUGAAUAGCGCGCAAUUGGUCGUACACAUGAGACCCGAAGCCAAGUGAGCUUACCAUGGGCAGGGUGAACCUCUGCGAAAGUGGAGGGGAGGCCCGAACCGUUGCAUCGUGCAAUUUGCUCGGAUGACCUGUGGUAAGGAGUGAAAAGCUAAUCGAACUUGGUAAUAGCUGGUUCUCUCCGAAACAGCUUUAGGGUUGGCGUCAUGUGAUCCUUCUGGGGGUAGAGCACUGGAAGGGAUGAAUAGGGGGGAACCUCGUCAUUCCUAUCAAACUCCGAAUACCAGAAGUUAUAGCAUGGCAGUUAGACUGCGGGGGCGAAGCUCCGCUGGUCGAAAGGGAAACAGCCCAGAUCGCCAUCUAAGGUCCCUAAAUCUAUACUCAGUACACUUAAGGAGGUGAAAUUUCUCAGACAAUGAGGAGGUUGGCUUAGAAGCAGCCAUCCUUUAAAGAAAGCGUAACAGCUCACUCAUUCAGAGAUCUUGCGCCGCAGAUGAUCGGGGUUAAGUAUAGUACCGAAGGUGCGGGCUCAAAAACUUCAUAGAGGAUUGAUAUAUGUGCAAUAUAUAAUCUUCGCGAAAUUUGUUCUUUUAUUAUCUUGUAUACAAAUACCCGUGUAGCUCAAGGGCAGAGCGUCGAGAUGGCAUCUCGAAGGUUGGAGGUUCGAGUCCUCUCAUGGGUGCGAAAUCCGUUUUUAACGGAUGUGUAUAAGAUGAUUUUAUUUUAUUGUGUGAUUCAUGGUCGCAAGACACUGGUAGUCCGGGGUAAGAUCUCGGUAGCCUUGUAAUGGGGUGUGCCAGGGAUCAUGAAUCCACAUUUAUUUUUCGCAACGAUGCAAGCUCGGCUUGCAUCCUCUAUGAAGUUUUUGAGCGGUAGGAGAGCGUUCCUGUCCGCACUGAAGCCCAAGCGUGAGCUAUGGGUGGAGCGUCAGGAAGUGAGAAUGUUGGCACAAGUAACCGCAAGGAAGGUGAAAUUCCUUCCCGCCGAAACACCAAGGUUUCCUUUGCAAUGACAAUCAGCGAAGGGUUAGUCGGGCCUAAGGAGAUGGUGAAAACCGGAUCCGAUGGACACAUGGUUAAUAUUCCAUGACUUGUGUAUGAUGCGAUUGGAGUGACGGAGUGCUGUACUGUGAGCGGAUAAUCGGAUUUCCGUUCAUGCCGUGAGGAAGACCUUUCAGGAAAAUCCGGAGGUCAAUAAUUCCGAGCAGAGUGAAGACGUAUCGGUUCGCCGAUAUGGAUUUGCAGGAGCGCGCUUCCAAGAAAAUCUUCUAAGCAUAAUCAUACAUGAACCGUACCCCAAACCAACACAGGUGGUGUGGUCGAGAAGACCAAGGCGAACGAGUGAUAAUUCCCCAAGGAACUCGGCAAAAAAGCAGCCGUAACUUCGGAAUAAGGCUUCCCGACACCACUUUUUAUCUUUGAAGUGGUAUCAUAAUGACAUGCACUAUGUAUAUCUCAUUCAGCAUACGUUGACGUAUAAAAAAUAUGUCGGUAGGACAAACGAUUUGUCCCGCAGACUUGAAGAGCAUAAUAAAGGUGAGCAAACAAGCACAAGAAGAAAAAACGGAGAAUGGAAAAUCAUUUAUGCUGAGAUAUUUAGAUCAAAAGCAGAUGCUGUUACACGCGAGCAGAAAUUGAAACAAAACUCUCGCGGAAGGCAAGAAUUAUAUAAACGUAUAAUUUACAGCGAACUUGAAAGAUAAAAAGUGGUGUCGGGCGCAGCGAAUGACUCUCUGGCGACUGUUUAUCAAAAACACAGCUCCCUGCGAACUCGCAAGAGGAUGUAUAGGGGGUGACGCCUGACCAAUGCCGGAAGGUCAAACAGGGAUGGUCCAAAGAACUUUGUUUUUUGGGCUGGGUUCUGUAAGCCCCGGUGAAUGUCGGCCGUAACUAUAAGUUUGAGCGAGGAGCGAUAUGAAAAUUUAUUUUUAUAUCGUCCGAGCGAUGAACUUAUAUGAAAUCUUUGAUUUCAUAUAAGGUGACCGUUGUAGUUACGCAAAUAAAUUCCGCCAUAUGCGGGAAACUCCGACCGUGCACGUGCGCCUUAGCGCGUGCCAAAGUAUCCGCCGCUACCAGUUCGCACGUCGAUGCGAUGGUAACAAUGCGAGCGGUGCGGACAAUCCGCAGGAAAGACUCUGUGCAUAAUUAUGUAUCAUCUAUGUAUGAUGUGAAAUCUGUUGAUCCGCGACACGGGCAUUAUAUCGCGGGUUUUACGGACGGAGAGGGAAGUUUUAACGUCUCCCUUCGUCCGCGCCCGGACUACACACACGGAUGGAAAGUUUCUGCUUCGUUUAACAUUUCGCAGAAGGAUCGAGUCAUUUUGGCUCACAUCAAAAAGAUCCUUCGCUGUGGAACAUUGCGUACGCGCAAAGACGGAGUGGUGUAUUACGAAGUAACGAACAUCACGGCACUUCAUGAUACUAUAAUUCCUUUUUUCACUCGCUUCGGAUUUUUAUCCGCGGCAAAGAAAAAGAAUUUCUCGCUUUUUACACGUAUUGUCGAGAAGAUGUAUCGCAAGGAACAUCUCACCCGCAAGGGGUUUGACGAAAUCGUGGCAUUGCGAGAACAAUUAAACGAAGGUAUCGGGCGAAAGCGCGCCUAUACGGCAUCCGAUACCCAUGCACAGUAGAAUCCUCACAGACUAUACGCGGAACAUGCCGCGCACACGUGCAAAGCCGACGUGCGCGAACAUGAUGAGAUAGUCGGGCCCCUAUGGCGACAUAGGGUUGACAAAUCGAUGCAUACGGAUGGGUUUGUCAUAUAAAACAUCAGCAAACGGUCCUAAGGUAGCGAAAUUCCUUGUCUGGUAAGUUCAGACCUGCACGAAUGGCGUAACGAUCAGAGAACUGUCUCGGGGAACAGCUCGGUGAAAAUGCAAUACCGGUGAAGACGCCGGUUACCUACAGCUAGACGAAAAGACCCCAGGAGCUUUACUACAGCUUCAUAUUGGGUAUGCGUGUAUGUUGCGUAGCAUAGGUGGGAGGCUUUGAAGUCUCGAUUUUGGUCGGGAUGGAGCCAUCAGUGAAAUACCACUCUGCAUGUAUGUAUAUUCUAACCUCUCGGUAAAAACCGAGAGAGACAGUGUGUGGCGGGUAGUUUGAGUGGGGCGCUCUCCUUCAGAACAGCAUGAAAAAAUGAUGUUCUGAAAUUAGGGCGCCUCCAAGACGCAAAAUAUGACUCCGCGUCUGAAAGAAAUAAAUGAGGGGGACGCCACAUGGCAACAUGUGGACGUGAACCGAACUAUAUGCUGGAAACUCCGAGUAUCUUGCGCGCUAUUAUCAAAAGGUGGUUGAUGAUGGGAAACAGCGCAAGUGCGGAUAAUCAGCAGGGAAGUCUUUGUGAAAACAAAGACCCCUGAGAGGCCAUACGUUUGGCUUCCGUGUAUACGGAAGAAGAGAUGGUCCGAUCUCUUCGGCGACGAAGAGUGUUUAUCAAUCGUUAUAGAUAGACAGCCAAUACUUAUGAACACCAAAGAACAUGUGAAGCAAAAGAAGAAAUUGUCAUUGAACCGUCGACAGCGUGAUAUUCUUGUCGGUCUUCUUUUGGGAGACGGACAUCUUGAGACACAAAAUGGCGGACGGACAUAUCGUCUUAAGGUGGAGCAUGGCAUGAAGCAGAAAGAUUACGUGUCUUUCCUUAGUAAUGAAUUCAAGGAGUGGAUUCCGGGAGGUGUGUAUGAAAAGAAACGAAAAGAUGGGAGCAGUAGUGUCGGAUUUACGACAUUCUCUCAUCCGUCAUUUCGCUUCUAUGGACAGCAGUUUUAUCCGCGUGGUAAAGAAAAAUGCAUUCCCAAAAAUAUUGCAUCACUUCUUUCGCCGCUUGGUAUAGCUAUAUGGUUUAUGGACGAUGGUUCUAGAAAAUCAUUGCGCCACAACACAUAUGUCAUCCAUACACUUGGAUACACAAAAAGCGAUUUAAAACGAAUUGUGACUGUGUUGCGAGAAAAGUUUUCAAUCUCGGCGACAGUGCAUAGUCAAAAAGGACGAUACUGGCGGUUGUAUAUUCUGUCGGAAUCAAAAAAGAUGUUUGAGUCGUAUAUUGUUCCCGUUGCGGGACAUAUCCCUUCCAUGAAGGAGAAAUUGGUAACACAGAUGCCCAAAGAGUAACGGAGGAGUCUAUUAAGGUCAGCUAGGCGCGAAUGGACACCGUGCCGAUAGUGUAAUGGCACAAGCUGGCUUAACUGCAAGACGUAUGUGUCGAGCAGGUGCGAAAGCAGAGCAUAGUGAACCGAUGGUUCGCUUUAGAUGCGGCCAGAGAUUAUCAGAUAAAAGCUACCCUGGGGAUAACAGGCUAGUUCCGCCUAAGAGUUCAUAUCGACGGCGGAGUUCGGCACCUCGAUGUCGGCUCAACUUAUCCUGGGGCUGAAGAAGGUCCCAAGGGUUUGGCUGUUCGCCAAUUAAAGAGUUACGCGAGCUGGGUUCAAACCGUUCAGGAGCGUAUGCAUAUGCAUAGGAUCCUGAACCCGUUUGAACCCGAGGUCAAAGACAUCAUUACGGCGGCAUCAUAUAGUAAUAUAUGAUGACAAGUUAACUAAUAUCGGUGGAAUCCUUAUGAAUAUUUGACCGAAUAAGGACAAUACCGAGGGAAGAUUACAUCCUCUUUUGAGGAGGUGAAGAAUGUUUAAUUCAUGCUAAUGGGCGCGCCAAGCUUCAUGUUUGGCAACCUUGGCCGUAACCACAACGGCCCUAAUGAAUAACAGCUUUGCUUCCUCUUCUUUAAAGAGUAUGUAAUUACCCGUAGAGACUGCACGUUAACCUUCCUUUUCCGAGGAAGAAGAUACAGUCCGAUCCCGUCGGUAACGACGGCGUUGUGAGUGAGGCGAGUACCUAAAAGCUACGAGCAAUACACUCACAGCUACACAUGCGUAAGACAGGUUGGUCUCCUAUCUGCUGUAGGCGUUGAUUCUUGAGAAGAUCCGUUCGUAGUACGAGAGGACCCGAAUGGACUGACCUCUGGUGUACCGGUUGUUCCGCCAGGAGCACGGCCGGGUAGCUAAGUCGGGAAUGGAUAACCUCUGAAAGCAUCUAAGAGGGAAGCCAACUUCAAGAUUAGGAAUCAUUUGAGAAUCCUUAGAGAUGAUAAGGUUGAUAGGCACCAGGUGGAAGCGCAGUGAUGCGUUGAGCCGAGGUGUACUAAUUCG
rnacentral:sRNA from 1 species